GACGUAGGGCGCGAGCGUUGUCCGGAUUUAUUGGGCGUAAAGAGCGUGUAGGCGGCCUGAAAGGUCAGCUGUGAAAACUCGAGGCUCAACCUCGAGACGUCGGUUGAAACCAUCUGGCUAGAGUCCGGAAGAGGAGUGUGGAAUUCCCGGUGCAGCGGUGAAAUGCGCAGAUAUCGGGAAGAACACCCGUGGCGAAGGCGGCACUCUGGGACGGUACUGACGCUGAGACGCGAAAGCGUGGGGAGCGAACAGG
rnacentral:rRNA from 1 species